GAACAGUCAUCAGUGCCAGAAAACCACAGACAGUAAACCCAAGACCCGCAAAGACCCUCAGUUUCAGAAGGAAAACCACUGUGAAUGACUCAAACUAUUCAACCUUUUCCCAUCGGAAUGAUGCAAAGUGAGCCCACCCUCCAUGGGAGCUGAAGUCCAUCAUCCACAGCAGCCCUCGACAGUAGGAGCACAUGGAGCCCGGAUCAUACAUAGAAUCAUAGCCCAGUUCCAAGUCACAGCUGAUCCACAGCAUCCCUGGAUCCACCAGGAAGCCAUUUCUUCAGUCUCUGAGGCUGUAACUGGAAUGAACAUUCUUGGUAGUUGACACAACGCCUGCGGUGGUUCCUUGGCCUGUGAGAUGAAACUGAAUGGAAGAUGAGAUUGUAGCCAGCAAACACAGGUGCCCCACAAAGUGUCAUGUCAACGUCACACACUUGGCUUCCUGAGCAGAGUGGACAGG
rnacentral:lncRNA from 1 species